rnacentral:rRNA from 1 species
UACGUAGGGUGCAAGCGUUGUCCGGAAUUAUUGGGCGUAAAGAGCUCGUAGGCGGUCUGUCGCGUCGAAUGUGAAAACCCGGGACUCAACUCCGGGCCUGCAUUCGAUACGGGCAGACUAGAGUUCGGUAGGGGAGACUGGAAUUCCUGGUGUAGCGGUGAAAUGCGCAGAUAUCAGGAGGAACACCGAUGGCGAAGGCAGGUCUCUGGGCCACUACUGACGCUGAGAAGCGAAAGCAUGGGGAGCGAACAGG